AGUGAACGCUGGCGGUAGGCCUAACACACGCAAGUCGAACGGCAGCACAGUAAGAGCUUGCUCUUACGGGUGGCGAGUGGCGGACGGGUGAGGAAUACAUCGGAAUCUACUUUUUCGUGGGGGAUAACGUAGGGAAACUUACGCUAAUACCGCAUACGACCUACGGGUGAAAGCAGGGGAUCUUCGGACCUUGCGCGAUUGAAUGAGCCGAUGUCGGAUUAGCUAGUUGGCGGGGUAAAGGCCCACCAAGGCGACGAUCCGUAGCCGGUCUGAGAGGAUGAUCAGCCACACUGGAACUGAGACACGGUCCAGACUCCUACGGGAGGCAGCAGUGGGGAAUAUUGGACAAUGGGCGCAAGCCUGAUCCAGCCAUACCGCGUGGGUGAAGAAGGCCUUCGGGUUGUAAAGCCCUUUUGUUGGGAAAGAAAAGCAGCAGGUUAAUACCCCGCUGUUCUGACGGUACCCAAAGAAUAAGCACCGGCUAACUUCGUG
rnacentral:rRNA from 1 species